CUCGAUCAAUCGCAGCUGUAGGCCUAUAUCAGUUGAGCAGUUUCCAUCGUUGAACUUAAUGACGGCAAGUGAUAACAUCUACUGCUUGGCCGAUGUUGCUGCAGCUGUUAGUUUAGCUGGCGACUCAAUGGUCGGUUUAAGUGCAACACGUUCAAACAAAGUCAACAAAAAGAAAACGGAGGAGAAUAGCGAAACGUUUUUGUGGAUCCACAAAAUAAAGCUAACACCCGCAGCUGCCGUCCACCCUGCCUGGGUUUAAUCUAGGAGGAACGAGGAGGAAAAAGACACGGCGGAUUAUUUCGAGGGUGAAAUUAGGGCUGACAGGGAGAGCUGGGGCACCGGCACCGCGGUUUAAUUCGCGGUCGAUUUGCCCCGGGAGGACACCGUCCCCCCCCCCCGUACGUUACCGGCCUGAAAACUUUCCCAAUAGAAGCCUUACCUGUCCACGCUGAUGAGGCAGAGGUUCAUAAUUGAGG